UGGCAUGGGGUGGCAACUGCCACCCUAAAAAUAGGCCUUGCCACCCCAGCUGGCAGCUUUGUUUUGAAAGAAAAGUUGUGGCUCAUCGGACAUUUAUGAGAGAACGUCUCUAAUGUCUGAGUGCAAAUGAAUGCAGCACAAGACACACGUCUUGUAACACCCAUAGAUAUAUAUAUAUAAACACUAGAUGGCUCAUGGGAGAUUUUCCAGCAUAGCUGACCGGCCGCCAUCUUGCUACAGUUAACAGUUACUCUGAUUCGCGUUAUGGUAGCUGUUGUAAGAAGUACCUGACUAUGCCGGACUUUUGUGCAGCCUACGGAUGCUCUAAUCACCGCAGUCUGCAAACAAGAACCCGUGGAAUCACCUUUCACGUGUUUCCCAAAACCGAAGAGAGGAGGAGGCAGUGGGAACUCGCCAUAAGAAGGGACGGUUUUGUUUCCUGUGACAGGACAGUAACAGUUUGACCCGUUGUUGGGCCAAGCUGUUUUGUGCAUAUCAUUUUACUUACUUGCAGUUACAAAUAAAUCGCUGGUAACACAUACCAAUUCUA